UUUGAUCCUAGCAUGAAGCCCCCCUCAAGAUGAGAUUUCUCUUUCUUUGAAGUAAGACCCCUGAAAGAUGAUCAGGUUGAUAGGUUCGAGGUGGAAGUAUGGUGACAUAUGGAGCUGACGAAUACUAAUCGGUCGAGGACUUAACCAA
rnacentral:ncRNA from 1 species